rnacentral:rRNA from 1 species
UACAGGGGGUGCAAACGUUGCUCGGAAUCAUUGGGCGUAAAGCGCACGUAGGCGGUUCGUUAUGUCGGAUGUGAAAGCCCUUGGCUUAACCGAGGAAGUGCAUCCGAAACUGGCGAGCUAGAGUACGAAAGAGGAUCGCGGAAUUCCCGGUGUAGAGGUGAAGUUCGUAGAUAUCGGGAGGAACACCGGUGGCGAAGGCGGCGAUCUGGGUCGAUACUGACGCUGAGGUGCGAAAGCGUGGGGAGCAAACAGG